rnacentral:rRNA from 1 species
AUUGAACGCUGGCGGCAUGCCUUACACAUGCAAGUCGAACGGUAACAGGUCUUCGGAUGCUGACGAGUGGCGAACGGGUGAGUAAUACAUCGAAACGUGCCUAGUAGUGGGGGAUAACUACUCGAAAGAGUGGCUAAUACCGCAUGAGAUCUACGGAUGAAAGCAGGGGAUCGCAAGACCUUGUGCUACUAGAGCGGCCGAUGGCAGAUUAGGUAGUUGGUGGGAUAAAAGCUUACCAAGCCGACGAUCUGUAGCUGGUCUGAGAGGACGAUCAGCCACACGGGGACUGAGAAACGGCCCAGACUCCUACGGGAGGCAGCAGUGGGGAAUUUUGGACAAGGGGCGCAAGCCUGAUCCCGCAAUGCCGCGUGCAGGAUGAAGGCAUUCGGGUUGUAAACUGCUUUUGUACGGAACGAAAAGCCCUGGGUUAAUACCCUGGGGUCAUGACGGUACCGUAAGAAUAAGCACCGGCUAACUACGUGCCAGCCGCUGCAGUAA